GGCUUGUUGAAUAUAAUUUCAAGUUUGGCCUGCCCAAUGAUUAAUUUAAUGGCCGCGGUAUUUUGACUGUGCAAAGGUAGCAUAAUCAUUAGUUUUUUAAUUGAAAGCUUGUAUGAAAGGUUUGAUGAGAAAAUUUCUGUCUCUGGAAGAAUUUAUUAGAAUUUUAUUUUUAAGUGAAAAAGCUUAAAUUUUUAUUGAAGACGAGAAGACCCUAUAGAGUUUUAUAUUAAUAUUUAUAAUUGGACUUUAAAGAAUUAGAAAGUUUACUUAUAGUGUAAGUAUUUAGUUGGGGUGAUGAAAAAAUUAGUUUAACUUUUUUUAGCAAAAGGACACUUAUGUGUGAAUAUUUGAUCCUAAAAUUAAGAUUAAAAGAAGAAAUUACCUUAGGGAUAACAGCGUAAUUUUUUCUAGAGUUCUUAUCGAAGAUAAAGUUUGCGACCUCGAUGUUGGAUUAAAAUUAAUUAUUGGUGAAGACGCUAAUAGAUUAGGUCUGUUCGACCUUUGAAAUUUUACAUGAUCUGAGUUUAAACCGGUGUGAG
rnacentral:rRNA from 1 species